AUGAAGCCCCCCUCAAGAUGAGAUUUCCCAACUUCGGUUAUAAGAUCCCUCAAAGAUGAUGAGGUUAAUAGGUUCGAGGUGGAAGCGUAGCGAUACGUGGAGCUGACGAAUACUAAUCGAUCGAAGACUUAAUCAAUUU
rnacentral:rRNA from 1 species